GUAAUCCGAGACAACUUCAUACCACCCGAUGCAGACGCCAUUCUGAACAUCCCCCUAAGGAUUGGCGGUGGUGAUGAUAUUCUUGCAUGGGAUUUUGAGAAGUCUGGUUCAUACACUGUCAAGUUAGCUUACCGCGCUCUCAUGACUUAGAACGAGCAACUGGCUCUAGAGGAAGGGACGGUAGUCGAAGCAUCAGCAACAAAAAAACAGCUAUGGACCACAUUAUGGAAAUUGAAGGUUCUGCUAAAAGUGAGAGUGUUUUGGUGGAGGGUUUUACAAGGUAUCCUGCCAGUAGAAUCCGCACUAAAAUAUCGACAUAUAGCAACAGCGAGCGAGUGCAAAAUAUGUCAGCAUGAAGAUGAGGACAUGAUGCAUGCAUUGUUGAAUUGUUCCCAUGCGAGAGGGUUUUGGACUCAAGCCACGGUUUGGCUUGGGGUAAAACGACCUGAUCUACAUCCUCUAACAUGGUCAAAGGAUAUCACUUGUGAUCCCAAGUUCUCUGAGUCCGAUCGAGCCAGGCUAGUGACGAUCAUGUGGGCUAUUUGGACGUCAAGAAAUAAUUUAACUCAUGAUAAAGGUGCUACUGACCCAAUUCAGUCCAUGAAAAUGACCAGAGAUACUCUGGCUGUGCUUGAUCUACCAAAGGCUCAGGCUCGGUUGCUUCCAGGCCAUGGAUGGAGGCCACCUGAGGAGGGGGGAUCAAGAUAA
rnacentral:rRNA from 1 species